rnacentral:rRNA from 1 species
UACAGAGGCCUCGAGCGUUAGGCGGAAUCACUGGGCUUAAAGCGCGUGUAGGCGGAUCGUUAAGUGUCUUGUGAAAUCCCACGGCUCAACCGUGGAACUGCUGGGCAUACUGGCGAUCUUGGGCCACUCAGGGGCGACCGGAACAAGCGGUGGAGCGGUGAAAUGCGUAGAUAUCGCUUGGAACGCCAAAGGUGAAGACAGGUCGCUGGGGGUGUGCCGACGCUGAGACACGAAAGCCCAGGGGAGCAAACGGG